AGUGAACGCUGGCGGUAGGCCUAACACAUGCAAGUCGAACGGCAGCACAGUAAGAGCUUGCUCUUACGGGUGGCGAGUGGCGGACGGGUGAGGAAUACAUCGGAAUCUACUUUUUCGUGGGGGAUAACGUAGGGAAACUUACGCUAAUACCGCAUACGACCUACGGGUGAAAGCAGGGGAUCUUCGGACCUUGCGCGAUUGAAUGAGCCGAUGUCGGAUUAGCUAGUUGGCGGGGUAAAGGCCCACCAAGGCGACGAUCCGUAGCUGGUCUAAGAGGAUGAGCAGCCACACUGGAACUGAGACACGGUCCAGACUCCUACGGGAGGCAGCAGUGGGGAAUAUUGGACAAUGGGCGCAAGCCUGAUCCAGCCAUACCGCGUGGGUGAAGAAGGCCUUCGGGUUGUAAAGCCCUUUUGUUGGGAAAGAAAAGCAGCAGGUUAAUACCCCGCUGUUCUGACGGUACCCAAAGAAUAAGCACCGGCUAACUUCGUG
rnacentral:rRNA from 1 species